UCCAUCGUGGUGCAGUGGUUUAGCACGCCAGCAUCCAAUGCUGGAGACCCGAGUUCGAUUCUCGGCGAUGGAA